rnacentral:ncRNA from 1 species
CUCAGCUGUUCCCCUACGGGCCGGUAGAGUGACGACGUCGUCAUCACACCCGUACAGGGGGAAGCCGGUGCAAAUCCGGCGCUGACCCGCAACCGUAAGCCACCCGUGGCAAGCCGGAUCGCCCCGUACGGAUUCGUGACC